rnacentral:RNase_P_RNA from 1 species
GCAGCAGGACGGUUUGUCGCUCACUUUUUAGUGGGAGGAAAGUCCGGGCAACAAAGAGCGCCAUACUUCUUAACGGGAAGUUGUCUGCGAAGGCAAAGUAAUGUAACAGAAAAUAACCGCCUUUUUCAAAAAGGUAAGGGUGAAAAGGUGAGGCAAGAGCUCACCGGAUGCAAUGGCAACACUGCAUUCGUACAUCUUAUGGGUUGUAAGGUCAUGUAUACCGGCUAAAAAGAAUUGCUCGUUCAAUGUCGGGGGGUAGACCGCUGGAGCUUUAUGGUGACAUAAAGUCGAGAUAAAUGACAAACGCCUUUUUUAGGCACAGAACCCGGCUUAUAGGCCUGCUGUUUUU